GAUGAAGAACGCAGCGAAAUGCGAUAAGUAAUGUGAAUUGCAGAAUUCAGUGAAUCAUCGAAUCUUUGAACGCACAUUGCGCCCGCUAGUAUUCUGGCGGGCAUGCCUGUCCGAGCGUCAUUUCAACCCUCAAGCCCCCGGGCUUGGUGUUGGGGAUCGGCGAGCCUCCGCGCCCGCCGUCCCCUAAAUCUAGUGGCGGUCUCGCUGUAGCUUCCUCUGCGUAGUAGCACACCUCGCACUGGGAAACAGCGCGGCCACGCCGUUAAACCCCCAACUUCUGAACGUUUGACCUCGGAUCAGGUAGGAAUACCCGCUGAACUUAAGCAUAUAAAUAAGCGGAGGA
rnacentral:misc_RNA from 1 species